CCAUACUAUCCGGGGAGUCAGCGGUGCCUUGUACCUGCAAUCCGCUCAAGCAGGGGUUAAUAUGCCAAUCUGAGGACAAUGUCUGUGUCGCCGCGUCUUUGGGAAGCCGUUGAGAAAUGGGCCCUGCUCAAUUCGCACCUGCGAACCAUGUCAGGUGGGGAACCAAGCAGCAUUAAGCAGAUCCGCGUCUGUGUUGCAGGAUUCCCUGUUUUGAGGCAGAACAAGGAUUUACGGAUGUAGGCAUUGUUCGAACUUGGCUGUAUGG
rnacentral:SRP_RNA from 1 species